GGUAAGCAGUAGGGCGCGAGCGUUGUCCGGGUUUAUUGGGCGUAAAGAGCUCGUAGGCGGCUGUCGCGUCGACUGUGAAUCCCGCGGCUCAACUGCGGGUCUGCAGUCGAUACGGGCAGGCUAGAGUUCGGUAGGGGAGACUGGGAAUUCCUGGUGUAGCGGUGAAAUGCGCAGAUAUCAGGAGGGAACACCGGUGGCGAAGGCGGUUCUCUGGGCAUUACCUGACGUGAGGAGCGAAAAGUGUGGGGGAGCGAACAGG
rnacentral:rRNA from 1 species